GGAGCUGCCAGGCAAGAGGUCAAGAGGAAGGCCAAAGAGGACAUAUAUGGAUGUGCUAAAAGAGGACAUGUAGUUAUUUAGGGUAAGAGUAGAGGAUGGAGUUAGGUGGAAACAGAUGAUUCGCUGUGGCGACCCCUAACGGGAACAACCAAAAGAAGAAGAAGAAGAAGAAGAAGAAGAAGAAAUGGAAACAAAAUAUCCAACAGAUGUGUGAUAAAAUCACAGAAAUCAUGGUUUACAAAAUUACAGUGCUACAUCAAAGAACUGAGCCACCACAUUGUUUUGCCCUUGCUUUGCUACAGAUUUUCAUCCAUUUCAAACUAAUCUUCUCCAUGGCAAUACAGCUUCUGGUGUGCAGAAUCCAUCUUCUGCAUCCUUUUGUUGUGAUCUCAUCACAUGCGGUAUUUACAGCAUCAAGAAAUGCCAUUUGGUUUAAUGAUAUAAGAUCGUAUACUUUCCAUCUCCAUGCAGGAAAACAUGGAUUCAGUGGUGAGUAUGAUGAUAGGAACUUUUUCACUAUCCUUGGUUGAUGUGGGGCACUUUCCACAAGUGAGGCUCAAGGAUCAUCUGACAACCAUUUAGUCAGUUUAGCUGUAUUCACAGUAUAAAGGUAAAGGUAAACACACGUUCCACUGUGAUGUUUCUUAAAUCAGUUUCAGACUCUGGUUUUUCAAUUAUUCUUCAAAUAAUGACAAAUUUGUUUGAUAAAUCAGUGUCCUGAAAUGGUGUGAUGACAAUGAGUGUGCAGCAGAGGGAGACAGAGCUGUAAUGCUCCAGCUUUCCAUCAUAUUGGGGGAUGCUGGGAAGAGGAGGAGGAGGAGGAGAUAACACUAGUAGUGGCUGUAGAGAUGCUAACAGCACUGACACCGACAGGAGCUGCCAGCUAACACACACAGACAGGCAGGCAGAGAGAGAGAGAUAGGUGGGGGCAGGCUAAUGAUAACAGCAGCACACACAAUGAUCAGUAAUAUACAGAGUGUGCUGCAGUGAGGCUUGCUGCUGUUAGCAUGUUGUGGAGAGGAGGCUGACUGACCACACAGAGCAAUGCAGUGUCGGAGGCCUCCUAUUGGAUGUUGUAGCUGACUUAAAACUCAUUGUACUGGUACAAUGACAAUGAAGGCUUCUGCAUUCUGCAUUUUAAGUGGAUGAUAAGUAGGAUCAUCACUAAACAAAGGGGUGGUCUACAACACCACCAAAUGCAGUCCUGACACAUUCACAACUUGACUCAUGUGAACCCCUUCCAGUUCUCGGGUAAGAGGACGUGAAGUGGAUGGAGGAGAAGCAGGUGUUGUAUCAGCACAAUCAGGAGCUGGUGGAGAAGGUGAAGAAGAUCAAAACACACAAUCAAUGUGACUUGAGGUGCUUUCACACAGUGACAUGGCUGCAGAGGUGGUGGUGAUGGUGGGGGUCUGCAUCUCUUGAACACACACUCCACUGUGCUGCUGCUGUUGAAAUUCAUGAUUGUUCAAGCUUUAUCAGCGUGAUACUGCAGCUGAUAAUUUUAAUUGGCCACCUCUACUGGCCACAUUGAUGGCCAAUAGAGGUGGUGGUGGUGGAGUUGCCAUUUGUCAGAGACCAUAUUCAAGUGCAUGAAAAACAGUACAUACACAAUGUAACUGGCCUUGAGUUCAUAGCUUUGAAGGUUGAAGCCCCAGUGAGUGCACUCAUUGCAGUUGUAUACAGACCUCCAGACUACAGCUUGCCAUCAUUCCUGUCAAACCUGGGAAGCCUAAUGGACGGACUUUAGAUCAUGGAUUGUCACCUCCUCAUUGUCUGUGGCGAUUUCCAUGGAAAUCUUCUGUCUAAUGCUAGCAAGCCAACACUGGAGCUGUUCACCUCCAGGGGAUAUGCACAACUCAUCACCGCUGCAACUACAGAGAAAAACACACUGCUGGACCUCAUUUUCAUCUCAUGACCACACCAGUGUGUCCACAGUGGUGUAAUGAAAACUUAUUACAGUUACCACAAUCCCGUAUAUUGUGUAUUGUCCUUUAACAGAUCAUGAAGAAGUCAGGUGAGUUUUAAGACAAGACCAUGUAAAUGAAUUGUGUCUAAUAUUUAUAUUUUCAGUGCAGAGAUUGAUAAAAUGGUUUUGCUGAAAUGUAUGUAAUAUACCUAGUGCAUAACAUUUCCUUUUAUAAAGUAUACCAUGAUGGCAUAUAGAGUUAUUGAGAAAGAUAACAGUUAAUGAAAAUCACUAACAAGAGAGUUCAAUUUAGAAGAGUAAAUUAUGUAGAUGUGCUCAGAUAAAAUCAAAUACACUGUAGCAUGAUGACUGUGUUGACUAAUAAGACUUUUGUAAAGGAUAUGAGGGAGGGAUGCCAGAGCAUCCCCAAUUAAAAAAAAAUGUUAGAACUUCAUUUAACUUGCAUUCUGCCUAAGAGCUGCUGACCUGCAAAGCACUGCUGUACCCUGUUAUUGUCUCUGUUCUGGCACAUUAUCAGUUAUUAUAUUAAUAUUUUCUGUCUAUGUUCCUCCAAACAGUUAAAAAAAAGACAGGUAAAUGCACUAACAUGUCAUACUUUUACAGUUUGUAGAAUUUUAGUCUGUAGAUUGAAACUUGGUUUGGCAAUUACAGUAUACAUUUUAAGCGAAAUGGAUAAUAUUAUGGUUCAUGAUUUUUUCUGAUAACUAAAUGGUUAUUGGUAAGUAUAUGUUUCAAGAAAAUGCAAAAUAUUAUGGGUCACAAUUUUUCAGGUAACUAUAUUAAUAUGAGCUAUACAUUCAGCAUGGUUUGGGCUGUGCAUUUAUCAGGGUGGGUCAGGGUUAGGGUUGAUAAGUGCACAGCCCAAAAAUGAGUCAUGUUCAUGAUGUAACUACCAGCUGACACUCUACAUUUCACACUAACUUCUCUGGCAGGGUGGCUGACAUAGUCAGCGUGUUUAAGUUUUCUUUUAGGUUUAGUUGGUUUUUUUCCUUCUUCUGUUUCUGCUUGUUUUCUCCGGGACUGAAAACACACUUCUCUCCUGUUCUCUAUGAUUCAACCUUCACCUCACCUCCUGCAGUACUCUGAGGAUUAACGCAAUCAAGACAUUAUGCUGCAACAGAUCAAACACUGCAGCACUAUCUCAACUGUCAAUCAAAAAUGGUCAAAUCUGGACCACGCAAAGAAAUGUGGUGCUUCCUGCUAGUCCCACUCAUGUUUCAAAACAAAAGAUGAGAUAACUCUUGUUAACUUUUACGUCACCUUUCUUCUGGCUCUGCGUUGGAAAACCUCUCACCAAUCAACACUUCAUGCUGCCACAACUGGGGACUCAUCACUGCCUCACCAUACAGACAUACAGAGGCAUGUGUUUCUUCAAAAUAGAACAUAAGGAUGACCUCCAUCACACUAUCUCCAUAUCACAAUGUGCAGAUCCAUUGCUCUACAGCGUUUGGUUCAUUAGAGUCCAAUCCCUGUUGCUCUUCAAGCAAGCCAUCAGCAACACUGCUGCAGGAAACACAGCUACAGAGUCAUUCAGAGUGUCGCCUGCUCUGUGCAUCAUCAAACUCCUCCCUAAACAAGUUUUAAAGGCCUUUGCCCACUAUGCCACUGCUGUGAUGCUGUCCUCACACCAAACUUUGACCAGACAACUGAAAGCAGAGGUUCACAAGCCACUUCAGAAGCCAGAGGUGUUGAAAGCACUUUACGUGCUCACACAGACACUGUGCUCUCUCCGUUUGUGCUGAUGAUGGACAGAUUCAGCAUACAACAGCAGGGCAGAAAACACUACUGACCCAUGCACAAAAUGAAUACUCUCUAGAAGAAAAUGACAAUUUAAUUUAGUACUUUAAAAUACUUCACUCUUGACUUUAAUCUCUAUCUAAACAAAGUGUUUUUUUGUUUGUUUUUGUUCUAUAACAGUUCAUUCCCUUUAUUUUCACUUGAUCCAUUCUGCCUGCCUUUUUCUGUUUUCUAAUCAACAGUUAAAGGAAAUACAGGGAAAAUGGAUGAGUUAGUUUAGUUACUGCAUGCAAAAUGAACUACGUAACCCAGAUGAAAUGACCAGUUUUUAAAAAUAGUUCUCAUUACGGUGGAGUGUCAGCUGGUAGCUAUGUGAAAGGCUUUUCACAUUUGUGUGCUUUAGCCUUGGAGUAAUUUAAACCCUUGGUAUACACAACAGAUACAUAUAUACUGUAACAAUAACUGAAAUGUAAACCAUUUCACAUCAUGAAAUCUAUGCUCAGAAUCUUCAGUCUUCACAAUGCCAACAUCACUAUGAUUUGAUUGGAAACAAUUUUCCCCAUGGUGGUCUUGACUGUCAGUCCAUGGCUAAUGAAUCUGUGAACUAAUGGCGUAUUAGCCCAGGUCUAACUAUAAUGUGAAAAGCCUUUGAUGGUAGGACUCAACAAUAUUUAAAAUAAUUCAAAUUGUAAUAACUCUGUUGAUCAGAUUUUUUUUAAGUUAUGCGUACAAAUUUCACAUUUUAAAAUUUCUGCUUUCACAAGGUUGUCUCUAAACUAGUAUUUGGCAUAAAAUAUAUUACUGUCACAGCUGUGGCUGGUACCUCUGGUACCUUCGCCCCCUCCCGUGCCACAAAUCAGACUCUGUGACGAGCCACAACGGACACACCUGCGAUCAAUCAGGCUACCUGCUCCUAAGUGGGAUGCUGGCGUGUUCUCAUUGCGAGUUUGUCACUUUACACUCACCUGGAACCUACAGUAUCUCCUUGCCACAUGCAGUUCUGUGUUUCUGCAGGACAGACACAGACAUGAAUCAAUGGAUCUCUUGACAACUCGCUGUUCUCUGUGCUAUGCCUGGUCUGCCCUGUAUCAUCGUCUCCUCUCCUGGCUACAGACUAUCCCGGUGGGUUACGGCGGAUCACUCUGUUAGCCUCCUGUCCACCUGUACUGUCACACUACCUCCAGCCUGAGAACACCAGCUCCUCCUCCCUCCAUCUGACUUCAGCCAGCCCCAGCACCUUCACUCUGGACAUUGUGUCUCCCCCUGCUCUGUGGUACAGUCUCUUCCCUAUUCAACAUCCGGUUUCUGUCCUCCUCUAUAUACCAGCUAUUCAAUUGACUUUAGCUGUUAUCUGUGACACCUGUUGAGUGGAUAUUGGGCUAAAUCUUCUGUUAAGCAAGACAUCCUGCUUUUUGGUCUCUGAGUUCGAGUGUUGCAUUUGGGUCCUACUCUGGUGCUUCAUAUGGAUCGUAUCAUAACAAUUACAUUGCGUCACUGCUCUAUUUUGACACACCUGCUGAAAAUUCACAAAAGUGAUCAACAUAUUAUUCAUGCACUUUGCUUUUUGUAUAUACAGCCAUUACCUAGUAC